GACGAACGCUGGCGGCGUGCUUAACACAUGCAAGUAGAACGAAUUGGCGAACGUGUGAGUAACGCGUAAUCAACCUGCCCUUCAGCGGGGGACAACAGUUGUAAACGACUGCUAAUACCGCAUACUUCAGACUUUCGUGCCGGCUGAUUAGCUAGUUGGGGGGGUACAGGCCAACCACGGCGAGGAUCAGUAGCCGGGCGGAUAGGGUGAUCGGCCACAUUGGGACGGAGACACGGCCCAGACUCCUACGGGAGGCAGCAGUGGGGAAUGUUGCACAAUGGGCGCAAUCCUGAUGCAGCCAUGCCGCGUGUAUGAAGAAGGCCCUAGGGUUGUAAAGUACUUUCAGUCGGGAGCGUUACCGACAGAAGAAGCACCGGCUAACUCCGUGCCAGCCGCCGCGGUAAUAC
rnacentral:rRNA from 1 species